rnacentral:lncRNA from 1 species
UUUAUUUACCGCCUUUGCUUGUUUCAGAUUUUCCAGGGUGUUUUCAUCUGGUCGGGCCGCUGUGCGCCUUGCCCAGGAGGGGGUGCCCUUUGCUGGGCUGCCUGCCCCAUGGGAGCAGCGAGGGGGCUGCGGGUGCGGGACGGGGGCUCCGGGCAGCAGGGAAAGCAGGAAUUGCCUGCUAAGGCACAGGGCUGAUGCGACAAGAUCAGGUGCUGCAGCACAGGAACGAGGGUGCUGAGGGUGCCUUUGCCCUGCUCCCAGCCCCAGCAGCUUACUGGUGCGUGGGGAUGCGCUGGGAGGGAGCACAGAGCUCUGCAGGUCCCAUUUCAGGUCCCCUGGGAGGGCCGGGCAGAGGUUAUUGCUUGGAGCCUGUCACUGGAGCUUUUCCCGGUCCAGCUGUCCCGCACCCCAGGCUCCCAUCCUCUGCCGGGAGGGGGGCACAGCCCCGCAGCCUGCUGACCCCCCCGGACGGCUUUUCCUCUAUUCAUCCAGCCUCAAAGGGCCUGUGUCGGGUCUUUUCCUGGCCCUUCUCAGUGACGCCCUCUGGACCACCUCUCCCCUCGUCCCCCCGCAUCCCGCUGGGUGUGAUCCCUGCUCUCCCCGGGUUCCUGGUGCUGCUCCCCCCGUCCCCGCGGGGCUGCGUGCCGGCCGGAGGCAGCGUUCCCCCCAUCCCGUGCCCAGCACCCCGCGAGCACACGUGCACACUGGGCGCCUUGUGCAGGCGCGGGGCGAGCCCGUGGGCUCCCUGCCCAUUCCCUGGCCGUGGACUGGGAGCUAUUAAUAUCGUGGGGCCUCAAUGCGGCCCAUUCAUCGGCCGGCAAGGGGGCAGCCUGCAAAAUGCACCUCUGCUGCUCCUCCCAGCCUUCAUGCAGCUGGCCCCGGUGUGUGUGGGGUGAGCGUGUGCCUGCGGGGUCCGUGUCGGUCACCGGCUCGCUGCUGUCCCCCUCGCUGGCUGGGUGCUGUCCCCAUCCCUGCCCGCUUGUAGCUCAUCGCCCCUGGGAGCCGUCCUGCCUCGCUGCCCCCACGCCUCUCCCCCUUCCC